rnacentral:rRNA from 1 species
AUGGCAUCUCCCUCGGAUGCACGCCCGGCAACGAGUGGCGGGUCACGCGUAGAUCGAAUAGGUGACCUGGAUGACUUUUUUGGUCAACUUGACCUUGAAGACAAAGUUUUUGACGAUCUGGUAAUUGACGAGGAGAUCCCAGAGAUCAAUGAACGCGUUAGGUGGAUGGCUCUUGCUCGUGUCCAUACCGACAAGACCUUCAGCCAAGCGGCGUUCUUCAAAGACAUGAGGGUAGCGUGGAACCCGACGCAACCAGUGAAAUUUAAGCCGAAGGGGGCCAACAUGUUCGUCGUGCAGGCAUCUUGUCUAGGCGACUGGGAA